rnacentral:rRNA from 1 species
AACGAACGCUAGCGGCGUGCCUAACACAUGCAAGUCGUGCGAGAAAGUUUCCUUCGGGGAGCGAGUAAAGCGGCGCACGGGUGAGUAACACGUAGGUAACCUACCUUUCAGUCCGGAAUAACCAGCUGAAAAGACUGGCUAAUGCCGGGUAAGACCACGAUCUCUGCGGGGAUCGCGGCCAAAGGCGGCCUCUUCAUGAAAGCUGAUGCUGAGAGAUGGGCCUGCGUACCAUUAGCUAGUUGGUGAGGUAACGGCUCACCAAGGCUUUGAUGGUUAGCUGGUCU